UACAGGGGUGGCAAGCGUUGUUCGGAAUUACUGGGCGUAAAGGGCGCGUAGGUGGCCAUCUAAGUCAGACGUGAAAUCCCCCGGCUUAACCUGGGAACUGCGUCUGAUACUGGACGGCUUGAGUAUGGGAGAGGAACGUAGAAUUCCAGGUGUAGCGGUGAAAUGCGUAGAUAUCUGGAGGAAUACCGGUGGCGAAGGCGGCGUUCUGGACCAUUACUGACACUGAAUCGCGAAAGCUAGGGGAGCAAACGGG
rnacentral:rRNA from 1 species